rnacentral:snRNA from 1 species
AUUUUUACUUGGCAGAAGACACCGUGAUCAGGAAGGUGGUUUUCCUAAGUUGAGGUUUUUCCAUUGCACUCUACUUGUGAUUCCCCCAAAUUCAGGGAACUCAACUUCAGAAUUUGUGGUAGUGGGGGACUGCGUUCUCGAUUUCUUAUA